rnacentral:tRNA from 1 species
GGUCUUAUAUUCAAUUAUGAUAAUAAAUUGCAAAUUUAUAGGUAUGUUUACAUUAAGACUU